rnacentral:rRNA from 1 species
UACAGAGGGGGCAAGCGUUGUUCGGAAUUACUGGGCGUAAAGGGCGCGUAGGCGGCCUGCUAAGUCGAACGUGAAAUCCCCGGGCUCAACCCGGGAACUGCGUCCGAUACUGGCAGGCUUGAAUCCGGGAGAGGGAUGUGGAAUUCCAGGUGUAGCGGUGAAAUGCGUAGAUAUCUGGAGGAACACCGGUGGCGAAGGCGGCAUCCUGGACCGGUAUUGACGCUGAUGCGCGAAAGCCAGGGGAGCAAACGAG